GCUUUGUGUUUCAAGUGUCUGUGAACACCAACAUGCCGCAGUGUCGUGAAACCCCCCUAUCCCGUCCAGGCCUUCCACACAGGACCCCUCAAAGUCAUAGAUCUGCCAGAUCAGCUCCUGCUGGAUGCACAGGUGCUGUGUUAAGAAAUCCUGCCCAACAAAAUUCCACUGAGGCAGAUGUAGAGAUGACUGUGAGAAACUG